GACGAACGCUGGCGGCGUGCUUAACACAUGCAAGUCGAACGGAAAGGCCCUGCUUGCAGGGUACUCGAGUGGCGAACGGGUGAGUAACACGUGGGUGAUCUGCCCUGCACUUCGGGAUAAGCCUGGGAAACUGGGUCUAAUACCGGAUAGGAGCCAUUUUUAGUGUGAUGGUUGGAAAGUUUUUUCGGUGUAGGAUGAGCUCGCGGCCUAUCAGCUUGUUGGUGGGGUAAUGGCCUACCAAGGCGGCGACGGGUAGCCGGCCUGAGAGGGUGGACGGCCACAUUGGGACUGAGAUACGGCCCAGACUCCUACGGGAGGCAGCAGUGGGGAAUGGUGCACAAUGGGCGCAAGCCUGAUGCAGCGACGCCGCGUGGGGGAUGACGGCCUUCGGGUUGUAAACUCCUUUCGCUAGGGACGAAGCUUUUUGUGACGGUACCUAGAUAAGAAGCACCGGCUAACUACGUG
rnacentral:rRNA from 1 species